rnacentral:rRNA from 1 species
GACAGAGGCCUCGAGCGUUUAGGCGGAAUCACUGGGCUUAAAGCGUGUGUAGGCGGGCCCGUAAGUGUCUUGUGAAAUCCCACGGCUCAACCGUGGAACUGCUGGGCAUACUGCGGGUCUUGGGCCAACUAGGGGCAGCCGGAACAAGCGGUGGAGCGGUGAAAUGCGUAGAUAUCGCUUGGAACGCCGAAGGUGAAAACAGGCUGCUGGGGUUGCGCCGACGCUGAGACACGAAGCCAGGGGAGCAAACGGG